AACGCGUGAGUAACCUGCCCUGGAGUGGGGGACAACAGUUGGAAACGACUGCUAUACCGCAUAAGCCCACAGUGCCGCAUGGCACAGCGGGAAAAGGAUUUAUUCGCUUCAGGAUGGACUCGCGUCCAAUUAGCUAGUUGGUGAGGUAACGGCCCACCAAGGCGACGAUUGGUAGCCGGACUGAGAGGUUGAACGGCCACAUUGGGACUGAGACACGGCCCAGACUCCUACGGGAGGCAGCAGUGGGGGAUAUUGCACAAUGGGGGAAACCCUGAUGCAGCGACGCCGCGUGGAGGAAGAAGGUUUUCGGAUUGUAAACUCCUGUCGUUAGGGACGAAUCAUGACGGUACCUAACAAGAAAGCACCGGCUAACUACGUGCC
rnacentral:rRNA from 1 species